rfam:Planctomyces sp. SH-PL14, complete genome.
GGGGGCGAUCGGAUUCGACUGGUUCUCCGCGGGUGGUGGUUGCGUGUCGUGGUUGAUCAGUUUGCCACGUAAAAAGCUGAUCAAAAAAGAACUGCCAACAAGCAGUUUGCCCUCGCUGCCUAGAGAUAGGCGCGACCGUCUGCGGAAGCCCUGCCUGAGGCGUCCAAAAGUCGGUUACCAAUUCGGGCUGGUCUCCUCUCACUGAUCGCUGGUGAGGAGACGAGAUCAAAGGCGAUCUGGUCAGAGAACGUUCUGUUCGCCGUACCGACCCUGACGACUUGAACGACGGACUACACACGUAGAGGCCCCAUCUCAGGGCUCUCAGGACGGGGGUUCAAUUCCCCCCGCCUCCAUGU